rnacentral:lncRNA from 1 species
AUUCCAAGUCAUGAGUUGGGUAAUUUCAUUCAUGAUUCUUCAAUUGUCUGGACCCGUAAGCGAUGACUUUGCUAUUUUAUAUUAACACACACUCUAAGCCCUUGACUGACGCAUCAGUACAUACAGAAUAACCCCUUAAUCCACUAGGUAGUGUUUGUAUUGGAGCCGUCACAAGUCAAUUUUUGAGUUCUCUGAAGCUAUUUUCACGGU